GUUUUGUUUUCUUCUUUUGCAAGGGGUGCCAUACUAAGGAAUGCCUCAUUGUAUUUUGUCAUUUCCAUUGCAGUCAGUCAGAAAUCUUCCAACUUGGAAGGCAGAACAAAGUCAGUCACCAGGCCAACUGGGUCAUCUGCUGAAAUAACUUGUGAUUUUUCUGGAGACAGUAACUUUUAUAUCCACUGGUACCUACACCAGGAGGGGAAGGCCCCACAGCGUCUUCUGUACUAUGACGUCUCCAACUCAAGAGAUGUGUUGGAAUCAGGACUCAGUCCAGGAAAGUAUUAUACUCAUACACGCACAAGGUGGAGUUGGAUAUUGAUACUGCGAAAUCUAAUUGAAAAUGAUUCUGGGGUCUAUUACUGUGCCAACUGGAACAGGCACAGUGAUUCAGACCUGCUGAACACCACACUGAAAAAUCUGCCUUGUGGCUGCUUCUGGUACACAAGAUAGAGCUGCCCCCUCUCAUUUCCUGCCACCAAAUUUACUGUAUGCUGAAAAAGAGAAACACAGCUUAACUCCUGAUCUCCCCCUAAUAUCACAUUCCCCUGGCAGCAGCUGCCCCCUGUUCGCCACCCUCCCCCAGAACUUUCCUGAAGACCAAGCUGCCAUCUCCAGGCCUCAGCUAAGCAUCCUGGCUGAGAGCAAGGUUCUCUUAGCUCUCCUAGGACAUGGGCAAGGCCCACUCAAUCUGCUUCCUAGGACAAACAGGUACACCUAGGGUCCAGCUGUGAAGCAAGAUAUUUUGGACAGCAAAUGGGAAGGGUAUUUUUACUGAAUCAUGUAUCCAAUCAUGGUCCAGAUAUCGCAGCUGAGAGUGGUACUUUUUCCUUAUGUCUGUAACAAUACAAGCGAUACUAAAGUUACCACCAAAAUACCUGGCCUAGAUA